AUGUACUGGAUCCGCCAGAGACCCCGACAGGCACUGGAGUGGCUUGCGGGGAUCACCAGUGGUGGCACCACCGCCUACACGUCGUCUGUCAAGGGCGGGGCGGCCGUGACCCUGCUGGAGUGCGGAGGGGACCUCCAGCCCCCCGGGGGUUCCCUGCGCCUCCUCUGCCGAGGGUCCGGGUUCCCUUUCGGCCGUUCUGAUCUGCACUGGAUCCGCCAGAGCCCCGGGCAGGGGCUGCAGUGGGUGGCCGCCAUCGACAGCCACGGUGGCACCGACUACGCGCCGUCACUGCGGGGCCGAGUUGCGAUCUCCAGGGACAACGGGCAGAGCUCCAUGACCCUGACCGUGAACAACCUCAAGGACGAGGAUUCCGGAUCCUAUUUCUGCGCCAAGGAGUCCAGCACUAACAUUGCUGCUGGUCCUUCCCUCAACCCUUGA